UGAGAUGCACAAGUACAGCCUUAGCGUUAUAUGACCUGCGAUUUAACACAAGGCUGUGCCAAGCCCACCGUGCAAUAUUGCAAAUAUACACACGAUAAGUACCAUACGUGUCCAUAUAGGUACUGUUGGUGGAUAACACCGAAUACCAUUCUUGACCGAUAAAAGCAGUUCACCACAAGCGUGAAAUGGCUAGGGAGAUUGAGAAAGGACACGGAAAGAGGGAAGAAAAGGGUUGUGAAAAUGUGACAGACAAAGAUGACCUCAACACUGCGGACAAACAGUUAACUUUAUCCUGCGUGGAUCUCCGAAUCACCACCGCCCAGCACUUAAAUGAAACAAGAAAGGCCCCGCCCUCCGCUUUAAAGCAUGAAGGCAAUAGCAGAAUUAAGCUGGUUGUGCUUACAGGUGCCUGCUACAACAUAUUUGUGGCACUAGGAUUUCCGUUCGCUAUUGGGGCCCUCUAUCUGGAGAUACUUGAUACAUUUAAUUCGACGAGAGGAGAGACAUCUCUGGUGCCAGCGUUUUGCCUGGGAUGCACGUUUGGCGUUGGUUUCCUGAGUGGGUUUUUCAUUCAGAGAUGUGGGAUGAAGACCGUGAUGGUUGCUGGAGGAUUAGUCAGCUCAUUGGGUUUAUUCACAAGCUGGUUUCCUCAGUCGGUCGUACAUCUGAUAGUUACUGUUGGGGUUAUAAAUGGAUUUGGAAACAGUUUUAUCUUCAUUUCUAUUACAAAACUGGUGGCAGGCACAUUCAACAAGAGCCGAAGUCAAAGUCUUGCACUGGCAGGAAUUAUGUUCAGUGGUGGAAUCGGAACUAUUCUAUUUCCAUACAUACUCGCUACACUAAAUAGUCUUUACGGAUGGCGAGGAACGUUUCUCUUGAUCAGUUGCUUUUAUCUUCAAACCAUCGUUUCAACGUUAGUGAUAACAUCUAGUUUAGGGAAUCCCCAAUUUUUUAAAGGACAACGACCAACAGGUCACGUCACAGGAAAGGAGUCCAAAUCCAAGUGGAAGCUAAUGUUGAAGCCUGUUUUCGUAUCCUUCGUUAUAACAUCCGGUUUAAAACUUUGGAACAGCAAACAACAUCGGUGGUAUUUUAUCGGAUUUGGCUAAAAGUAAAGGAUUCUCUGAAGAAAGAGGACUGGCACUCAUUCUUUACUACAACACAGCUCGUUUAACACAAUAGCUCGACUGUUAAGUGGCAUUCUGAAGCUUAUACCUCGACUCCACAGUAUCAUCAUAUUCACGUUGUCUGCGGCUCUUCUUGGAAUCUCAUUGAUGUUUCUUGGAGCAUCCACCGAAUGGUCGAUGUUGACAGUGUUGACAUCGACAGCUGGCGCUGGAAUUGGAGGGAUGACAGCAAUGCUUCCUGUUGUCUCACUGGAGGUUCUUUCGCAG